UACGAAGGGGGCUAGCGUUGCUCGGAAUGACUGGGCGUAAAGGGCGCGUAGGCGGCACACACAGUCAGGCGUGAAAUUCCUGGGCUUAACCUGGGGGCUGCGUUUGAGACGUGUGAGCUAGAGGAUGGAAGAGGCUCGUGGAAUUCCCAGUGUAGAGGUGAAAUUCGUAGAUAUUGGGAAGAACACCAGUGGCGAAGGCGGCUGACUGGUCCGGUUCUGACGCUGAGGCGCGAAAGCGUGGGGAGCAAACAGG
rnacentral:rRNA from 1 species